CUCUGAAUGCAUCAACUCUAAUCUCUAAAAGUAGUCAACCUUCAUUUUACAGAAGAGGAUGUUGGCCAAGCUAACCGAGUUAUUACCGAGAUUCCCCCUGGAGACCUUGCAGCUAAGGGGAUUUAAACCAAGAUAAAGAAACAAAACCAACAGGAAGAUGCCAUCAAAGGAAAGCAAGACAGAGAAUUAAGGAGCCUCAGAAAGACUUCACAAACAAGGCAUCAUUUAAACAACUAUUUUAGGCAAUAGAACGUAGAGCAAAGGGAAGACUUUGAAGAAGUCGAGAUGGAUAUUUCAAGAAUACUUUUCUCAUGUCAACAUAAAGUCUCUUAAAUGUUUCACGUAUUCUCCUCAUCUGCAGUUUCACUUUCUGUGGUUUCAGUUACCUAAGGUCAACUGUGGUCCACUGAGGUCUGAAAACAUUAAAUGAAAAAUUUCAGAAAUAAAUAAUUUAUAAGUUUUAAACUGCUAGCUGUUCUGACUAGCGCCUCCCACUCCGUCCCAGCCAGGACAUGAAUCAUUCCUUUGUCCAGUGGAUUCACACUAUCUACAUUAGUCACUUAGUAGCCAUAUGGCUUUUCAGACUCAUGGUUGCAGUACUGCAGCAUUUGUGUUCAGGUUGUCCUUAUUUGACUUUAUAACAUGCAAGUGUAGUGGGCCUUAUUUAUAAAUUAAGCUUUAUCAGAGGUACGUCUGUAUAGGAAAAAACAUGGUACAUGCAGGCUUUGGUGCUGUCAAAGGUAUGAGGAAUCUACUCGGGGUUUUGGAACAUAUCCACCUAGAAUAAGGGAGAGAACUGUAUUUAGAGGUGUAACUGAAAUUCAUUUUAAUAAUGGGCGUGCAAGACUCAGGCUCUAACCUUUGCAGUCUGAAGUUAAGAAUAAAAAUUAUGUCCAUAAACAAGUUAAAAAAUUAUUUCUACAUAUGUUACCUACAAACCUACAAGCCUACCAAUCUCUAAAUUCCUAAUUAUGGGUUAUAUAUGAUAAAAAUAAUUUCAUGAUUACUCCUAAAACAGUAAUCAUUCUUAUGAACAGAAACAUUUUUUUACUAUUGCAGUAGAAUGAGCAGAACGUAGAACUAGAAAGUUCUGGGUGCAGAUUCUUGCAUUCGCAUGUCAUUUUAGAUUCUCCGAGGCUCAGUCUUCACAGUAAUACGAGGACAAAUGCACAGAUACAAUGGCAAUUCUAUAAAGUCCCUACUACAGUCUCUGGCAUAUAAUAAUUGCUCAAAACAAAAAGGAGAGAGAGAACAAAUUCUUUCCCACCCUUUGUCAGUGAUUAUAGCUGACGAAAUACUAAUAUUUCUCCAAAAAUAGUCAUUACUAAAUUCUGAGGGCCAUGACCACGUCAUUCCAUACAAACACACAUUAAACCCAAUAAGUGCUCUACAUUAUGUUAUUUCAGACAAAAAACUUGUUUAACCAUUGCCACUCCUCAUUUUGAAAAAGGACUCUAUAUAUCCUGAAAUCUAGCAUUUACUUUUAUUAAUUUUUAACUAUAGCAUUUCUUGUUGAGUUUUCUUUUCUCUUUGACUUUAGUUUCAGCCUCAUCAUUAUAUUAACAGCAGAUCUUUGCUUUUAUUUGUGUAUGAUGGUUGUAGACAGUACAUUCCACAAGAGCAUGACCAAUCUGUUGGACUCACCAGUAAAUCCCCAGUGUGUAUCACGGUGUGCUGCCCAUAGUAGGUACUCAAUUUUUCUUUUGAAAGAAAAAGUUUGAUUGAAAAACAGAUCAACCAGUUCCUUCUGGUGUCUUUUAAAUUAUAUCUCUGUUUGGUCUCUCUGUCUCUAAAUGGUAUAAGAGAUUAAAUAGCCUGAAAAUCAGUAUUUUCUGGCACAGGAAAUAAAAAAGUCUAUCAUAAUUGAAACGUUUAUGAAAAUACCUUUUACUUAAAGAACUAUAGUUCUGUAAAGGUGCAUAAAUGAACAAUAACUGUGAAUUUGAAUCUUAGAAAACUGUGUAUAAUGGAUAUGCUUUUUGUAUGUGAGUGUGCUUUUAAUAUAUAGUCUCUCUUAUCAUCCGUCUAAGCCAGGUAAUUCCUCUUGUACUGUAAAAGUCUACAGUGUCAUAGUGUCUAUGAUCAUUGCACUUUGCCAUGGCAGCCUGCUUGACAUUUAUGAUAAGAAGGUGUUGAAGUAUUUGCUGUCAUUCAUUCAAUAACUAUUGAGUGACUACUAUUUAACAUUUUUUAUCCCUGCCAUCAUACUCAAUUUUGCUCAGCUCUUUUGAAUGUAUCAGCUAAUAAAAUAAGAAAAUAUAUUUAUAUUCCCAAUAUGUUUCCAAAUAAAUUUGGAAAGAGAAAAAGAUAUUUACCUAUACAUAUUAUUAUAUUCUUAGAAAAUCCAAGCACUCACACCUGAGGCACUAUUAAAUCCAAUAAAUGAUUUUGUCAAAUGGAUUGGUAUAUGAUAAACAUAUAAAAAUAAAAAUAACUGCAUUCACCCAGCCAGCUUGAGUAACGAUCAUCACUGAAACCGAGGCCCACCACAUGAUUUUAUGCUAACUUGGCCUGAUGCAUUAACCUGGCCUCAUCUAAUGAACAAGUGAGAGCUGGAAAUUAGGAGACAGAAAUGGGGAGAUUCAGGAAGCUGGUCUGUCCUAUGUCUCGGGAACUAUCAGGCAGUGUGACAAUGUGAAUUAUUGUCAUCACCUACGUGCGGCUUUUAAAAGGCAUUUUUCUAAGAGAAUAUUCUUGAUGGAAUCACUGGUAAACAAGAGAUUUUCCUCUCCUACGUGAUUCUGCUUCAAAAUUCAACCGAGGUCUGUAAUGGAAUCAUCACAUAAUCCAGCAAUACCACUUGCAUAUCCAAAAAAAUAGGAAAUCACGAUGUCAAAGAGGUUAUCUGUGUUCUCAUGUUCAUUGCUGUGUUAUUCAAAACAGUGGAGGUACAGAAAAAAUCCUACUAUGUCCACUGAUUGAUGGAUAAAGAAAAUGUGGUGUAUACAUAGCCCAUGGAGGAUUACUCUUCACGCUUAAAAAGGGAGAUCCUGCCAUAGCAACAAUAUGGAUGAACCUCAAGGUCAUUAUACUGUGUGAACCAAAUCAGUUACAGAAAGUCAAAUACCAUAGGAUUCCAUUUCCAUGGGGAAUCUACAAUGCACAGAAGCAGAGAAUAGAAUGGAGGUUGCCAGGGGUAGGGAAGAAAGGAAAAUGGAGUAUUGCUGUUUAAAGGGUAUGUGAUUUGGGUUAUAUCUGAUGAGUAUGUUCUGGAGAUCUGAUGAACAACAUUGUGCCUACAGCUGACAAUACUGGGUUGUGCACUUACAAGUUUGUUAAGAAAGUAGAUCUCAUGUUAAGUGUUCUUUAUUUAAGUUCUGGAAUACAUGUGCAGAACAUGCAGGUUCGUUACAUAAAUAUACCUGUGCCAUGGUGGUUUGCUGCACCUAUCAACCCAUCAUCUAGGUUUUAAGCCCCGCAUGCAUUAGGUAUUUGUCCUAAUGCUCUCCCUCCCCUUGGCCCCCACCUCCUGACAAACCCCAGUGUGUGAUGUUCCCUCCCUGUAUCCAUGUGUUCUCAUUGUUCAACUCCCACUUAUGAGUCAGAACAUGUGAUGUUUGGUUUUCUGUUCCUGUAUUAGUUUGCUGAGAAUGAUGGUUUCCAGCUUCAUCCGUGUCCCUGCAAAGGACAUGAACUCAUUAUUUUUUAUGGCUGCAUAGUAUUCCAUGAUAUAUAUAUGCCAUAUUUUCUCUAUCCAGUCUGUCAUUGAUGGGCAUUUGGGCUGGUUCCAAGUCUUUGUUAUUGUAAACAGUGCUGCAGUAAACAUACGUGUGCAUGUGUCUUU